GCUGAUUACAGGGUAGCAAUAUUCUGUAGUCGGAGUGGCGCAAGGGUGCGUAACACGUGGGUAAUCUGCCGUGAAGUUUGGGAUAACUCGCUGAAAGGCGAGCUAAUACCGGAUGUGAAAAUUGGGAGGCAUCUUUUGAUUUUCAAAGUUGGGGACCGUAAGGCCUGACGCUUCACGAUGAACCCGCGGCCUAUCAGCUAGUUGGUGAGGUAACGGCUCACCAAGGCUAAGACGGGUAGCUGGUCUGAGAGGACGACCAGCCACACUGGAACUGAGACACGGUCCAGACACCUACGGGUGGCAGCAGUCGAGAAUUUUUCACAAUGGGCGAAAGCCUGAUGGAGCGACGCCGCGUGGGGGAUGAAUGGCUUCGGCCCGUAAACCCCUGUCAUUCGCGAACAAUGCUCAUGGUAUAACACAUCAUGAGUUGAUAGUAGCGGAAGAGGAAGGGACGGCUAACUCUGUGCCAGCAGCCGCGGUAAUACAGAGGUCCCAAGCGUUGUUCGGAUUUACUGGGCGUAAAGGGUGCGUAGGCGGUCGGAUAAGUCUGAUGUGAAAUCUCCGAGCUUAACUCGGAAAUGGCAUUGGAUACUAUUCGGCUGGAGAGUUGGAGGGGGGACUGGAAUACUUGGUGUAGCAGUGAAAUGCGUAGAUAUCAAGUGGAACACCAGUGGCGAAGGCGAGUCCC
rnacentral:rRNA from 1 species